UAUUAAGACAAAAUAAGGCACCAGAACAAAUGAGACCUUAUCUUUCUCCAUAUACAUAUAUACAUAUACACACAUAUCUCUUUGUGUAUACAAAUACCUAUAUGAGAUAAAUCACUUUUAUGUGCCUCAUCUUUAAUAUCAUAUACAUAUGUAUAUGUGUGGGACAGCCUGGCAUAAUAGUUGCAGGGCUGACCCAGGGAGAAAGUCCACCCCCUUUACUGGGUGACCAUGGACAACUUGUCUAACGUCUAAGCGCCCCAGGGAGCUCAGAUCAUAAAUUAUCCACACUUGUUGCCCACUGCAUAUGUGGGGAGGAGGUUCUACAGAACUCCUACAUCCAUGAAGUCACAGAAUGAGUAUGUCGUGUACUUAGCCAAUGCUUUCUGGCCUUUUUUUCUGUGCAAAUGCACUAAUCGGUGAAGGAAAAUCUUUGGUGCGAUGUUGCUGUUUUUCCUCCCUGUUGGCUUUGAAGCUGUGACCUCCUGUUCAUCUUUGAGGUUCUCUUCUUCAGUCCUGGCACUUCCCCAUUGUGUACCCUUCUGGUCUGCUGUCUUCCAGGAACCUCCUAUGACCUGACCACAAUAGAGUACCUCUAUACUGAGGGCAGUGCUUCCUCACCCUACAUUCAGGAAGGAGCUAGCAGUUGAAGUGACUGACUUUAAGAGAAAUUAGCCAAUAACUUUCCAUUAUCCAAGCCAAUAGAGGGAGCUUUGGGGCUGACUCCCUCCAAUUUAAAACAAUUUCUAAAAAAAAUUUCUGUUUGCUAUGUAUUAUAUUUAUGCAUGUUUAUAUUUAUUAACAGCUUUUGCCUGAACUGAUAUAGCCCAUUUCCAGGCAUCUCCAUGUUCAUUAACUACUUUGUUUAUUAUCUGUGGCUUUAGCUCCCCACCACCCCUUUUUGUUAAACCCUUAUUCCACAGUAUACUUCCCCACUCCCUGUCCCAUAUUCCUUAGUCUUGGACUCAGAAAAAUACAGCAUGCUUUGAUAUUAGCAUAAACAAAUCAUACUAUUCACACAGCCAGGAAGUGUCUGAGGCCAAAUUUGAACUCAUUUCCUCCUGACUUUGGGUCUGGCAUUCUAUCCAUUGCCCCUAUCUAGUUGCCCCCAAUUCAUACUGCUUUUUAGGAAGAUAUAUCCUACCUUAGGAGAAUUACUUAAGAUUUAUAACACUUUGCUCAAAUAUAGUACCUAGAUGGGAGAUCGCCUAAGAAUGGCAAGUGAUACACACUUUAAAGUAGGGAGAAGUACAUAUAUUGUGUUGCACUCCAAGUCAGAAAGACCUAGGUUGGAAUUGUAUCUCUGACAUUUAUGUCACUGUGACAAUGGGCAGGUGACUGGGACCCAGACCAUUUUCCAAGAUUAUACUUUAUUGAGGAUUGUAAUAGUGGAAAGUUGUCGUUCCCCCACCCCCACCCUCAUUUGAUGUAAUACAAUUAGUGUUCCCAUUUUCCAGCUAAACAAAUUGAGGCUAUAGAUAAUGAAUUGAGGCCUCCAAAGUCACACAGCUACCAGGGAAUGAAUCUCAAAUCCAAAGACUCUCCAAUCAGAAUCAUAAUGUAUUGGAAAAACAAAGGUGAAUGGGUUUAUCUGUGUUAUCUAUAGACUACCUACCACCUCUUACUAUUGGGAGUAAGCAGGAGAUGGUUAUGUUAAAAUAAUUAACCUUUUCCCCCCUAGCCAAUCCACAUUUACAUUAGAGAUAGCAUAGGCUUACAAUGAAGAAAUGGCUAGAAAUAUAUGCAAGGAACAUAAAUUUAGAACUGAAAGAAAUUUAUCUAGUCCAAAUACUUCAUUUCAAAGGGAAAUUAAGACCCAGCAAAGUAAAGAGAUUUAAGUAAGAUAACACAAGUUAUAAAUAACUUAGCCAGGAUUUGAACCCAAUUAAAACCUCAUUGGAAAUCAACCAGUAUUUUCACUGUCCUUUAUGGCCUUCCUCAGCAGGUGGACUGGGGAGUACUUCAGCAGUCAUAUUUUGGAACCCUGAGGAAUGAGAACAAAAAAUUCGUCCUGAUAAGGAAUCUUUUUUUUUCCCCCAAUAGGAAGUAAAGCAUUUGAUAACUGAGAGGGAAUCAAAAUGAAGAGGGGCAGCUAGGUGUCAAAGUGGAUAGAGCACCAGCCCUGAAGUCAGGAGGACCUGAGUUCAAAUGUAGCCUCAGACAUUAAACACUUCCUAGCUGUGUGAUCCUGGGCGAGUUACUUAACCCCAAAUGCUUCAGCAAAAAAAAAAAAAAAAAAAAAUUAUAUUUGUCAUGUGAAAUGGCUCUUUGGAAGGGGAAAGGGAAAGAUGUUUGGGAUAACUAUUGUGAUGUUUUAAAAAACAAAAGAGCAAUAAUUAUUUUUUUAAAAAUUUAAAAAUAGAAACUUUUUCUAAAUAAACAAAAGGAAUUAUUAUAAA